rnacentral:rRNA from 1 species
UACGAAGGGGGCUAGCGUUGUUCGGAAUUACUGGGCGUAAAGCGCGCGCAGGCGGUCUUCCAAGUCAGUGGUGAAAGCCCGGAGCUCAACUCCGGAAUUGCCAUUGAAACUGUGAGACUGGAGUACGAGAGAGGUGAGUGGAAUUCCCAGUGUAGAGGUGAAAUUCGUAGAUAUUCGGAGGAACACCAGUGGCGAAGGCGGCUCACUGGUCCAUUACUGACGCUGAGGUGCGAAAGCGUGGGGAGCAAACAGGG